UACGAAGGGGGCUAGCGUUGCUCGGAAUUACUGGGCGUAAAGCGCACGUAGGCGGCUUCUUAAGUCGGUGGUGAAAUCCUGGAGCUCAACUCCAGAACUGCCUUCGAUACUGGGAGCUCGAGUCCGGGAGAGGUGAGUGGGAACUGCGAGUGUAGAGGUGAAAUUCGUAGAUAUUCGCAAGAACACCAGUGGCGAAGGCGGCUCACUGGCCCGGUACUGACGCUGAGGUGCGAAAGCGUGGGGAG
rnacentral:rRNA from 1 species